GAUGAACGCUGGCGGCGUGCCUAAUACAUGCAAGUCGAGCGAACAGACGAGGAGCUUGCUCCUCUGACGUUAGCGGCGGACGGGUGAGUAACACGUGGAUAACCUACCUAUACGACUGGGAUAACUUCGGGAAACCGGAGCUAAUACCGGAUAAUAUAUUGAACCGCAUGGUUCAAUAGUGAAAGACGGUUUUGCUGUCACUUAUAGAUGGAUCCGCGCCGCAUUAGCAAGUUGGUAAGGUAACGGCUUACUAAGGCAACGAUGCGUAGCCGACCUGAGAGGCUGAUCGGCCACAUUAGAGCUGAGACGCGGUCCAGACUCCUACGAGAGGCAGCAGUAGGGAAUCUUCCGCAAUGGGCGAAAGCUUGACGGAACAACGCGGCGUGAGAGAUGAAGGUCUUCGGAUCGUAAAACUCUGUUAUUAGGGAAAAACAAAUUUGUAAGUAACUAUGCACGUCUUGACGGUACCUAAUCAGAAAGCCACGGCUAACUACGUG
rnacentral:rRNA from 1 species